rnacentral:rRNA from 1 species
AACGAACGCUGGCGGCAGGCUUAACACAUGCAAGUCGAGCGGUAACAGGCCGCAAGGUGCUGACGAGUGGCGAACGGGUGAGUAAUGCAUCGGAACGUGCCCAGUCGUGGGGGAUAACGCAGCGAAAGCUGCGCUAAUACCGCAUACGAUCUAUGGAUGAAAGCGGGGGACCGUAAGGCCUCGCGCGAUUGGAGCGGCCGAUGUCAGAUUAGGUAGUUGGUGGGGUAAAGGCUCACCAAGCCGACGACCUGUAGCUGGUCUGAGAGGACGACCAGCCAAACUGGGACUGAGACACGGCCCAGACUCCUACGGGAGGCAGCAGUGGGGAAUUUUGGACAAUGGGCGCAAGCCUGAUCCAGCAAUGCCGCGUGCAGGAAGAAGGCCUUCGGGUUGUAAACUGCUUUUGUACGGAACGAAACGGUCCUGGUUAAUACCUGGGGCUAAUGACGGUACCGUAAGAAUAAGCACCGGCUAACUACGUGCCAGCCGCCGCCGUAACAC